GUGGGAAAUGGGGAGAUUUAGCGGCUGAAAGGGGAAUUGUUUCUGAGUGUCGGGACCCCGCAGUUGCUUGCUAGCUGGACCAGGAUGAGAGAACCCUGAGUACCCUAAAGAAGGCGUUACCCUAAGAGUGCGGGGCCGAAAGUAGGAUCAUCGUGCGGGUCGGGGGCGGAAAAUAGGAUUGCUGAGAACGCAUUUCGCCCCAUGACUGAUCCCUUAUAGAGUGUAGAAGAAGGUGGAGCCGUUUUGUUUCGAGGCAGAUCUGCCAAGACAUGGGCCUUAACUACUGGUGUUUCCUAGCACAGUGAGACAGAUAUGAAUGAAUGAGUGAAGAAGUGCCAGGUGGUGCUACGUUAGGAAGGAAAACUUCAAAGAAAGAAAAGGCUGGCCAUGCCCUCCGGGGUCCAGUAGACAAGUAAUUACAAUCCAGCGACUCCUCCAAAGUGCUAUUUGAGCACAGAAAGGCAUAAACUGCUUUAGAAUUUAGGGAAGGCACCUUGAAGGGUGGAGUCCUGAAUGAUGAGUGAGAGUCUAGUGGAUCUGGUAGAGAAGAGCAUACCAGGUACAGGAAAUAGUCUGUGAAGUGGCACUGUGCUAUGAGAAAGGAAAAAAAAAAAAAAGGGCGUUAAAGAAACUGGGACUAUGAAUGCAAGAAACCCAGUAAGGACAAUUGUUGGGAACAAUGCUACGUAAUUCUAGGGAAAAAUCAUUUGAGUAGGUCUAGUUCUGCUGUCUACAGACCAGCCACGACAUUCCAGACAUAAUUGCAUUUUGGCCUCGGGUCACAACUGAGACCUCAGUGAUCCCCUGAUGCUGUAAUGCUCCAGGACAAGCCCACACCUGCGGGAGACGCCAGGGAGGAACCAAAUCUUCAUCUGCGUAGUUCUUCAUUGUUCUUAGAUUUCCACUGCCCCCAAGUCUUUUGUUACACCUUGUUUAUCCCAAUGUGAAGUACUGAACUCUGCUUUUGCACUUGUUACAUCUGUUUCCCCACGUACUGAAUAAAAAGUGCUGCAACCUAGGGGGUCUUUGUCUUUGCCGCCCAGAGCAGCACUGAUCAGACCCAAAGC
rnacentral:lncRNA from 1 species